ACCGCCCUUCCCAACAGUGAGUUGAUAUGGUACACUGAUGAAAGCAGCUUUCGUGAAGUUACUGCCGCCUUUUUGGCGGGCAGUAGAGGUAGUGGGCGGGCGCAGCGGUAGUGGGCCAAGAUGGGAAUGUCAUUUGGAGUGCCUCACUUCCCCCGGGGACCUCAGCCCAGAAGACCGAAGUGAUUGCGCUGGCGGAAGCACUGAACUGGCCGAGGGGAAACGAGUGACUGUCUACACCGAUAGCCGCUCCGCUUUCGGCACUGUCCAUAUGCAUGGCGCCAUCUACCGGGAGAGGGGCUUUGUUACAGCGGAAGGAAAGGAACUGCGCAAUCUCCCGGAGCUACAGAGCCUGCUUGCGGCCGUGCAGAAGCCCCGGGCAGUUGCAGUUGUCCACGUCUCUGGACACCAGUCUGCUCGGACCUCGGAGGCUGAGGAAAACCGGCCAGCGGAUGAGGCCGCCAAAAAGGCGGCAGUAACUUCACCAACUUUGGCACUCGCCCUGCCCACACCCGAGCUCCCUCGCGGGCCCCUGCGACCUGACUACACCCCAGAGGAUCUGCAGUGGAUCCAGAACCACUACUACCCAAAGCCUGAUCAGCAUGGGUGGCAUCGGGACCGAGAGGAAAGACUGAUAACUGCCGGCAAAACUAGGACUGUUCCUCCUUUCCAACCUGCACCAAGCCACCCAUUUAGGGAAGAGAAAAUUGCUGACAGUUCUCAAGUCCGCCCGCCUCCCCUGGUUAUUCCCCUGACAAACAACCCAGAUCCAGGAUAUCGUGGAUCAGUGUGUUGGGUGCCAGGCUAUGAAACCCAGUAGGAAGGGACCCCUGCGCACAGGUUGACAGCAUUGGACUUGGGUUCACCACUCCCCUGUGCGCCGGGCCACCCCGCCAGAGCAGAGACAAGCCAGGGAGUGGAUUGUGCGAUAACACACUGAUAACCCCCUGAAGCUACAACUCUCCACAUCUCAGGGAUGCCCCACAUCCCCAGUCCAGUCUGACGAUGAAGUGGCUGCUGGUCCUGACCCUGCUCAACAACUGGAAAAGGAACCUCGCAGAAACCAAUCCUUACCGGCCUUACAAGCAGACAUGGAUCCUGAGUAAUGGAGAGACUGAGAAGACUCUCAACGAAACCACCCGCGUGGCCCCGCUAUCCACAUGGUGGCCAGACUUAACCUUCUGCUUCAGAGACAUCAACCCUGAUUACAAGUCCACGGCACCCAAUUUAGCCCGUAGCUAUGGAUUCUAUGCCUGCCCGGGACACUCUAAGGACCCACAAUGUGGGGGGGUCCAAUAUUCCUUCUGUAAGAGUUGGGCCUGUGUCACCUCUAAUGAUGGAGAUUGGAGGUGGCCAGUUUCACGACCAGACUCUAUACGAUUGGCCUUUGUUAAUCAAGGAAAGCCUAGAGGGGCGAUUGUUCCUCUCCUUCAAGGUCCUUGUUCCCCUCAAGAUUCAGACAGGAUCCGAGUUCAGUUCACUGACCAGGGAAAACAGGAAGGGGUUAACAAUUGGAUUCAAGGAAAACAGUGGGGAGUAGUGUUCUACAAAUACGGGGGACAUGUGGGAUCCACUAUUGUUGUCAGAUUAAAGGUUGAGGCAGUACAGAAAAGUAGUACUCAGGUAGGUCCAAAUAGGGUGUUUGCUCCUCCGGGCGGGCCAAAGGCUCCUCCCGCUCCUUCCGCCCCUACCAAGAACCCAGGUAACAAAAACCUCACAAACGGGACCACAAGAUCCCAGACUAACACCUCUGUAAUCUCCCCGGCACUUACUACACAGGCCACCAAGGACUCCUUGUGAAAACUAAUGCAUACUAUGAAUGAGAUCCUUAAUGCCACGAGCCCUAACCUCACGGCCUCGUGCUGGCUAUGUUAUGAUGUGAAGCCUCCAUUCUAUGAAACAGUAGGGCUAAAUGUCACCUAUAAUGUAUCAUCAAAUGAGAGCCCCUCUCAGUGUUCAUUGGGGGUGACUGUAAAAUUCGUCUAACCCUGCAGCAAGUUAGUGGUAAUGGAAGCUGCCUAGGGAAAGUGUCGCAGGUUAAAUGAAGUCUUUGCACUUCCAUAGAUAACACCCCUAGAUGGAAAGAUAGCCCAAAGUGGCUAAUGCCAGAAAAUAAUGGAUGGUGGAUAUGUUCAAAGACUGGCCUCACCCCGUGCCUCUCAACCUCGAUCUUUAAUGCCUCUGAGGAAUUCUGUGUCCUGGUGACUGUGAUGUCCUCCAUCCUCUACCAUCCCAAGGAACACAUGUAUUCUCAUUGGAAUAGAGGCACAAGUGAGAGAAGUAAGAAAGAGCCCAUCACUGCACUAACUAUUGAUACCCUGUUCAGCUCAAGAGUGAGUAGCUGGGGUCAUGACUGGCAUAACCUCCCUGGUUACUCAAUGAGCAGGAAUGACAUCCCUGAGGGUGGCCAUAGAUGAGGAUCUAGAAAGAAUAGAGACCUCUAGAAGUCGUUUAGAAAAAUCUCUCACCUCCCUGUCCAAGGUAAUACUCCAGAAUAGAAGAGGGCUUGAUUUGCUGUCCUCCAACAAGGGAGACUAUGUGCCACAUUAGAAGAGUGCUGCUUUUAUGUCGACCACUGGGGGUAAUAAAAGAAUCUAUGGCUAAGGUGAGGGGAAGGUUAGCCAAGAGAAAGAGGGAAGGGGAGGCACAGGAAAACUGGUUCGAGGCUUGGUUCACCUUGGUCCCCCUGGUUCACCACCCUAGUCUCUACCUUAGUUGGCCCAUUUGUUUUGCUUGUGUUUAUUUUAACUUUUGGCCCUUGCAUUUUGAAUAGGCUUGUUAAUUUUAUAAAAAAUCAUGUUAAUACCGUCCAUCUCAUGGUCUUGAGACAACAGUAUAAGAGUUUGCCCGCUUCUGGAAACCCCUCCAACUUCCCCGUAAAUGAGCAGGAUUCCUCAUUAUACACAACUAAAGGGGGGAAUGUAAGAGUGGGUUAGCAUUAGAAUGGCCAUCUUAAGGACCGGGAAGCCAUUUUACUGAGCGACCCCUGGCUGAAACUGCAUACGUAAUUUUGAGAAAAGAGGAACUAACUAAAACCUGAAAAACAACUUAAUCAUAAACGACCAGGUUGUGGCGCAAUUCUGUUUGGAAAAGAGCUUAUCUUAUUAAACCACCAGGUUGUGGCGCAAGCCAAAAAUAUGUAACUAUGGGAAAUUACUGUGAGUUAGAUGUUUUGAAAAUGCUAUAUAAACCCUUGGCUUUGAGUGCUCUGGGUUCUUGUUGAAACCCGCCACGUUUGGGCAGAUACUUGGACCCCACCUAGCUGGAAAUAAACUUCACUGUGUGACUUGCA